rnacentral:rRNA from 1 species
AUGCAAGUCGAGUGCGCGCUUGUAGCAAUACAAGUGGCGCACGGCGCACGGGUGCGUAACACGUGGGUAACCUGCCCUUUGGUGGGGAAUAACCUCGCGAAAGCGAGGCUAAUUCCGCAUAAGAUCCGCAAGGAUGAAAGCCGCAAGGCGCCGAAGGAGGGGCCCGCGCACGAUUAGUUAGUUGGUAGGGUAACGGCCUACCAAGACUAUGAUCGUUACCUGGUCUGAGAGGAUGGCCAGCCACACUGGAACUGAGACACGGUCCAGACUCCUACGGGAGGCAGCAGUGGGGAAUCUUGCGCAAUGGGCGAAAGCCUGACGCAGCGACGCCGCGUGGGGGAUGAAGCUUCUCGGAGUGUAAACCCCUUUCGACUGGGACGAAUACCUCGCAAGAGGGGUGACGGUACCAGUANAAGAAGCCCCGGCUAACUACGUGCCAGCAGCCGCGGUAAGACGUAGGGGGCCAGCGUUGUUCGGAA